GUAAUACGUAGGGUGCAAGCGUGUCCGGAAUAUGGGCGUAAAGAGCUCGUAGCGGUCUGUCGCGUCGCUGUGAAAUCCCGAGGCUCAACCUCGGGUCUGCAGUCGAUACGGGCAAACUGGAGUACUGCAGGGGAGACUGGAAUUCCUGGUGUAGCGGUGAAAUGCGCAGAUAUCAGGAGGAACACCGGUGGCGAAGGCGGGUCUCUGGGCAGUAACUGACGCUGAGGAGCGAAAGCGUGGGGAGCGAACAGGAUUAGAUACCCUGGUAGUCCACGCCGUAAACGUUGGGCGCUAGGUGUGGGGCUCAUUCCACGAGUUCCGUGCCGCAGCUAACGCAUUAAGCGCCCCGCCUGGGGAGUACGGCCGCAAGGCUAAAACUCAAAGGAAUUGACGGGGGCCCGCACAAGCGGCGGAGCAUGUUGCUUAAUUCGAUGCAACGCGAAGAACCUUACCUAGGCUUGACAUGCACGGAAAUCCUCCAGAGAUGGUGGGUCCGUAAGGGUCGUGCACAGGUGGUGCAUGGUUGUCGUCAGCUCGUGUCGUGAGAUGUUGGGUUAAGUCCCGCAACGAGCGCAACCCUCGUUCUAUGUUGCCAGCACGUCAUGGUGGGGACUCAUAGGAGACUGCCGGGGUCAACUCGGAGGAAGGUGGGGAUGACGUCAAAUCAUCAUGCCCCUUAUGUCUAGGGCUGCAAACAUGCUACAAUGGCCGGUACAAAGGGCUGCGAUACCGUAAGGUGGAGCGAAUCCCAAAAAGCCGGUCUCAGUUCGGAUUGGGGUCUGCAACUCGACCCCAUGAAGUUGGAGUCGCUAGUAAUCGCAGAUCAGCAUUGCUGCGGUGAAUAUGUUCCCGGGCCUUGUACACACCGCCCGUCACGUCACGAAAGUCGGUAACGCCCGAAGCC
rnacentral:rRNA from 1 species